GACGAACGCUGGCGGCGUGCUUAACACAUGCAAGUCGAACGGAAAGGCCCUGCUUUUGUGGGGUGCUCGAGUGGCGAACGGGUGAGUAACACGUGAGUAACCUGCCCUUGACUUUGGGAUAACUUCAGGAAACUGGGGCUAAUACCGGAUAGGAGCUCCUGCUGCAUGGUGGGGGUUGGAAAGUUUCGGCGGUUGGGGAUGGACUCGCGGCUUAUCAGCUUGUUGGUGGGGUAGUGGCUUACCAAGGCUUUGACGGGUAGCCGGCCUGAGAGGGUGACCGGGCACCAUGGGACUGGGAUAAGGCCCAGACUCCUACGGGAGGCAGCAGUGGGGAAUAUUGCACAAUGGGCGGAAGCCUGAUGCAGCAACGCCGCGUGCGGGAUGACGGCCUUCGGGUUGUAAACCGCUUUCGCCUGUGACGAAGCGUGAGUGACGGUAAUGGGUAAAGAAGCACCGGCUAACUACGUG
rnacentral:rRNA from 1 species